UACGUAGGGGGCAAGCGUUGUCCGGAAUCAUUGGGCGUAAAGCGCGUGUAGGCGGCCCGAUAAGUCCGCUGUGAAAGUCCAGGGCUCAACCCUGGAAUGCCGGUGGAUACUGUCGGGCUCGAGUCCGGAAGAGGCGAGUGGAAUUCCUGGUGUAGCGGUGAAAUGCGUAGAUAUCAGGAGGAACACCGAUGGCGAAGGCAGGUCUCUGGGCUGACACUGACGCUCAUGCACGAAAGCGUGGGGAGCAAACAGG
rnacentral:rRNA from 1 species